UGGUGUUGAUGCUAGUAGAUGUUCUUCAGUGUCUGGACAUUAAAAUCUUGGGCAUGCAGCACCAUAUGAGAGGUUUAAAAAAUAAAAUUAAAAAAGAGAAAAGAACCCAGAGUUGAUCUCUGCAGCAUGCCAUCACUGCUGGGGAUGAGGAAACGGUGAUUUCAGGACUGUUUUUUCUGUCUCUUCAGUGCCUCUUUCAGUGAUCUCAGGUUAAAACCAGGAGGGACAAUCAGUGGAGCCUUCUUUCUGCCAUCUUGCUUUACUCUCACACCCAAGAAUCAGAAUUCAGAACUUUUAAUAAGAAAAGCUUUCAGAACUCAGGAAGGACAAGGAAGACAUUCUGGUUCUCCAUGCUUAACAUUGGACUCUUUCUUCAACUUAGACUAUGGAGGAUUCAUCACCAGACCAGGAAGCAACAGCCUGGGCUCCAGAGUUGGCCAGCAGUCCAUGCACAGACGAGGAGAGGUCCCAUGAACCUUCAGCGUGGUCUGGGAACCGAGCUC
rnacentral:lncRNA from 1 species